UACGUAGGGUGCGAGCGUUGUCCGGAUUUAUUGGGCGUAAAGAGCUCGUAGGCGGUUUGUCGCGUCGGCCGUGAAAUCUCCACGCUUAACGUGGAGCGUGCGGUCGAUACGGGCAGACUUGAGUUCGGUAGGGGAGACUGGAAUUCCUGGUGUAGCGGUGAAAUGCGCAGAUAUCAGGAGGAACACCGGUGGCGAAGGCGGGUCUCUGGGCCGAUACUGACGUUGAGGAGCGAAAGCGUGGGGAGCGAACAG
rnacentral:rRNA from 1 species